UACAGAGGGGGCAAGCGUUGUUCGGAAUUACUGGGCGUAAAGGGCGCGUAGGCGGCCAACUAAGUCGGACGUGAAAUCCCCGGGCUCAACCCGGGAACUGCGUCCGAUACUGGAUGGCUUGAAUCCGGGAGAGGGAUGUGGAAUUCCAGGUGUAGCGGUGAAAUGCGUAGAUAUCUGGAGGAACACCGGUGGCGAAGGCGGCAUCCUGGACCGGUAUGACGCUGAGGCGCGAAAGCCAGGG
rnacentral:rRNA from 1 species